CCCAGGCUACAGCUCAGACUUCAUUAGAGGCCCCAUGAAGGACAGUGAAAGAAUCCUGAACAAUUCCGAGAACUAUGAGGCGGCUCUCCAUCAACACCUGAGGGCAGAGCUGAGAAAACACAGGGGAAGGAUCAUACCAAGCAAGGUUUCUCUGGCCUGUCCCCUGAAGAAACCGGGAUGGACCCUAGCUAAUUUUAGGCACAUCCAUUGUUUUAGCCGGAAGAGACAACAUCUAAUCUUGCAGGAAGAGCACUGCAAGUAUCACAUGGCCCACUCAUGCUUCAGGUGCAAGACCAGCUCUUGAGUGCUGCUCAAAGGCUUGGGAAAAUAUUAGGGUCCUCAAAGAAAAUGUGACAACAGGUUGGCUGAAGCCUGCAGUCAGGAACUUUUCAGAAUGGUCCUCGGUGAACUGGCCAGAAAUCUGAAGCACAAAAUAAAUUCGGCCAUCAGAGUGGAAAAGGAAUAUUCACAAAACAAAGCUCAGACACAACCAACCUUAUGGGAAACAGAAACGGGCCUCUGUCAGGCUCAGAAAUGUGUGCAAACCAAACCUGACGGGUGCAACAAGCUUGAUAAACUGGUCAAAGGGGAGAGAAAAAGGCACGGCACCUUUCAUUUGUUUUCCACAUGUAGAAAUCCUUAUUCGCUCACUCAGUGUCUAGAGAGCACAGACCAGGCCACAACCCCCUCAAAGGGCCACAAUGGUGGGUCACAGUUCGCUUCAAUCCUGCCCUGGAACGCAGGCAAUUUCCAGGUCCUCAUUUGGCACAGGAAUAUGUAGUCUCAUUUUGUGAUAGUUUUCUCUCUGUGUUCCUACACUAACAAAAUUCCUUGAGACAAGUUGUGUCGUUUUAAAUAAAAUCUCCUUUUAAUGAAACUGCCUUCAGAAAGAUUUCCUAUGGCACCCAGGAACUGUGACUUGGCCACUUGUGACCCACUUUUUAAUUAUUGGAUGUAUGUUCUCUUUAUGAUCACUUUUUUUUUCUUUCCUAGAUUCGGUCCAGAGAAUCAGUAUUUGGGGGACUUAUUAAGAAAACUCAGUUAUUGACAUAACUACUACUAAAAAUAAGGAGUUCCUAAAAUCAGGCAGUGCUGCCUGGCUUGAAAUGCUAAUCAGAUGUGCUAGUCUUCCUCUGCUCAAAUACCGUGGUUACAUGCUCACUGCCUCUGGAGACAGAGCAGACAGGGCUAAUGCAGACAGAAACACUAGGCUGUUUGUUUGUUUGUUUGUUUGUUUGUUUGUUUGUUUUGUUGAAUUGGCCUCCAGAUUCCUGCCCUCUUGAGGUGAUUUGGGGAGUCCCUAAAGAAGGAACGCUCUGGGAAAUAGAGGAUUCGAACAGGCCUUCCGGACCAAAGCUGGGGCAUCUGAAGUGUCCCUAGGGCUGAUGAGGGAACCUGCCUAUAGGCCAUGAUGAACGUGAAGUCAAUCCAGCCCAAGAAACAGAAAACUCAUCCUAGUGGUGACUAAACAGAGAGGAACAGGGCCAUUUUGGCAGAUGACUAUAGUGAGAGACACCCAAGGUGUUGGGUGGGAGACCACAUAAGCAGAAGAUUUUCAUAUAAUCCUUGGCUGUCCUCUUAGCACAAAGAGCACACAUCCUCAACUUUUCUUGUCUCCAUCUAGCAGAUACUGUAGUUACAAAAGGUCUUCUAGAGUACCAUCAACCUGCAGUGUCAUUUUCCUUGUUUCAGUUACCAGCAAUCACAGCCUAAAACUACUAUGUUGAGAAAUUCUAUAAACAAUUGGUAAGUUCUACAUUGUGUGAUGAAAUCGCAAUCUUUGGGGUGUGAGCCAUUCCUUUGUCCAGUGUAUCAAUGAUGUAUCUGCUACCCAUCCAUUGGUCACUUAGUAUUCAUCUUGGUUGUAAGAUCAGCCGCUAUAGUAACCAAAUAACUCUAUUUUGAUUAAUCUUAACCCCGAAGUCAAGAAUGGUAAUGCUGGCAUUUGAGUAUGCCAAAGAGAAGCAAUAAGUAACUUUCUGUAAGGGAAAGGCCAAAGCUUAUCCUACAGAGACAUGAAGAGGGUUUGAUGCCGAUUGAAGUUUCAAUUAUUCUGCAGCUACUGGAACAUACUCACCUAUCCCUGAGCAUUAGGCAGCAGCAUGCUCUGCUCACAGUUCUCACUGCAAGGCUGGCCUUUCAUUGUCCCAGCCUUCAUCGUACUUGUCGCUCGGUUGCAAAGUGCGAUUGUCAACAUAAAGAAAAUGUGUUUAAAUUUCACAAUGGUUGUUUUGAGAGCAAUGAGACCAAUGCCUGUCUGCAUCAGAACAUCCCACUGUGUUGACUUAUCUCUGCUCAUCUUCUCAAACUGCAACCUCAUUUUACAAAGCUCUCACCCGCUCGGAUCCAGCUCUUCUACGAAGCCCUUUCCAACCACACAUUGAAGAAUGCCUGCUCCGGAGUCCUGUGCUGUGAUGUUUGAUAACCCUCUUGUGUGAUUAUGAAAGUAUUUGAUGUAACGCUGUCUUCACCCCAGGGACUAAGACUCACACUGCCUGUAAAUCCUUCUGAAACCCUGUCACACCCCACAGUCCCUGUGGAGUGUUCCUGACAAGAGACAAAUAUAAUGUCUUUUCCCUCCACAACUGCUGGAACACUGAGGAGUGUUUGUCAAUGGAAUGGAAGGAACUUGUGAAAACAGCAAAGUACCAACUAGUACAAACAUGGUCGGUCAGCCAUGGGAGGAAAGAAACAGGUCAUGUUAUUUAUACUCUGCUCAGACUGCAUGUAGUAGAGCAUCAUGUAGAGAACUUAUAUACACCAAUAACGACAGCAGAGAUCUGGAGUCGUCUCUCCAGAGCUCUGUGCCUUGCACUCAAGAGUGUAUGAUAAGGUUUUGAAAAUUGUAUAUCAAGGAGCUACAUAAUUUUAAAAGUAAAGAUUGACCCUGCUUUUUCUAAUACUCUGUUGUUUUCCUCUGUCUUGAUUAAACAUGAUGAAAAAUGCUAUCCUUAUUCAGACUCAUCACAGAGUACUUUCAGGUUUAAAAAAGGAACCCCAGAAACAGAAUGUUUAUAAAGAAAGGGAAUUCUAAAAUCAAAACUGAUAUGAGUCGGGUGCGGUGUCACACGCCUGUAAUCCCAGCACUCAGGGAGGCAGAGGCUUGGUCUUCGAAGCCAGUCCAGGAUAGCCAAGGCUACACAGAGAAGCCCUGUCUGGAAAAACAAAAACAAGCAAACAAACAAAAAAAAACUGAUAUGAAGUUCAGUGUUUUAGAAUGAUAUAGUUAAAAAAAGAAAGUCUGCUAUGGUGUCCUGGCUAGACUAAAUUUGGAUCAAUAUUUUAAAUCUUAAAUGUCCAAAUUGUUUUGCAUUUCUAACACAUAGAAUAGUCUAGAGGGGGCUCAGUUUCCACCAUCUGAGUAUGAAAUCAGAUGAACUGUGAACACUUUAUUUCAAUGAAGGAACACACUCAGGGGAAAAAAAAAAAAAAACACUUUCCCUUAGGUAUUUUAUUUGCAAUUAAAACAAAAAUUAUAAUCAGACAUACUAACAGUUGACGUCCUGAGCAUAAAGUUUGCUAAUGUUGAUUGGUAACUUUUGUGCCCCAAACCUACUUUGCCCAGAGCGUAUUUGCAGUUUCAAUGUUUCCAGCUUUCAAUGAAGUUUCCCGUUCUUUUUAUAGAAUAUAACCUAUAUUCUAUAUAGAUUAUAUAUAGGUGCCAUGAGCGCCUGUGUGUUCACAGACACGUGGGUCCUGAGAGAGCCUGUGUGUGUCAAACAACAAGGCUAAGAUGGUCGCUGAUCCGAAGGCUGGAACUUUCCCGUCUGUGACAUCAACGUAAAGACUUUGUGGCCAUCCCAGUCCACGACUCUGAGGCACAAAUCUAUGUGUUGAUGCCCCUUGCUGCUGCACCGAUGGAAGCUCGUGGUCAUUUCGGCUGGCGCAGUUCUGUUAUCCCUUUGCCUAAAACAACAAGUCUAAAGUUUCAGCAACAAAAUUUUAGACAGAUUUUCUGUCAAGAGCUCCAACCUCUCUUUCAACUCCAAGGAAGGUGUGUUGGUGCUGAAAAGAUAGAGGCUGGGGCAGAGCCAGGUGGGUUUUAUAAGGUUCUUGGAACAGCAUCCAAUAGCAGCUAACUCUGUAAACUAACGCUAUACAAUCUGCAGUCAGCUUUGAGGCACAGCACCAGUGUAUUUUAGUUUCUUUGCUUAAAAAAAAAAGUGUCUCUUGGAAGUACUGUAUUACCAAUGUCCUUGUUAACAUAGUUGAUGCUAUGGGAGAAAUGCUAAGGACUUAGUCAAAAAAGUAACUGAUAAUCUAAAUUUGAAAAACUUUAGCAGUAAUUUGUUUCAUUUUGCUCAUGUUUCUCUUUCUAUAUAUGCACGGUAAUUCAUACUACCCCCACACGUCUAAGGAAAUUCAAAUGAGAUUUUUGUUAAAUACAAAAAGAAAAUUCCAAGUGCUAAGAAGCGUGGUGCCAGACUUCUACUGGCAGACCUCGCCUCUGCCUUGGCAGUGCUUGUUCUGAAUCUGAAAUGGUCCCACACAGGCUCAUGCUUUGAAUGCUUGGCCCUCAUCUGCUGCUGUUCUUGUGGGAGGCCGUGGAACCUUCAGAAAGUGGGGCUUACAUGAGCAGAAGUAGGCCACUGAGGGUUGGCCUUGGAAGGUAAUAGCCCAGCCCAGUUUCUGCCAUUCUUUCCCUUGCUUCCUCCUUGUUGGUGUGAGGAGCCUCAGCCGCACAAGCUCCCUUGGCAGUAGACCGAUCUUCCCUACCAUGCCUUCUGACAUGAGCUGGACCCCUGAAACCAGCACUCUUUCCUCGAGCUGUUUCUGCAGGGACUGUGGCCACCAUCACACACAAGUACCUGGUACUGUGAUUCCUAAAGAAAAGCUCCGUUGUUCCAGUGCUAAUGACUUUGUGUUGAUGAAUUUGGGGUAUAUAACAAUUCAAAGGGCACCUGAUAUGAAUGAUAUAAAAUGUUAAACAUUUAUUAUUAUUUUUCUUGCUAGGAGGUUUCUGGAUAUUUAGUUAUUUUUGCCCAGGAUCUUUGUUUUCUAAAUUGUCCACAUGAAACACAUUUUAACUUAACCUAAUGGCUCCUUUCCAUAGAACACAGACCAUGAGUAUGCUCUGAUCAUGUGACAAGAAGUUUGUGGACACAGCAGCCAAGCUCCAGUGACACGGGAUGGGAUUAAACGACACAGAUGGGCAACUCUGAGCAAAGUACCUGGCACUCUAUGCAGGGUACCAGGAGGACUGAAAUCCAGUUACCCUCAGUAGCAGAAGGCUGAGCACAUUGAUGAUGGAGACUCCUCAUUCUCCUUCCCUCCUUCCCAUAAAGGUUCCAUUCUCUCUCUCUCUCUCUCUCUCUCUCUCUCUCUCUCUCUCUCUCCCCUCCUUCCUCCUACCCCUUUCCUGGAAUCACUGUUCAAAUAAACCACCUAAACAGAA